rnacentral:rRNA from 1 species
CCAAUAGCGUAUAUUAAAGUUGCUGCAGUUAAAAAGCUCGUAGUUGAAUUUCGGGACUAAUAUGUUGGUCGUGCCUCGGUACGUACUGAUAUUUUUGGUUUCUCCCUUCUGACGAACCUUGAUGUCAUUAAUUUGGUGUCUUGGGAAAUCAGGACUGUUACUUUGAAAAAAUUAGAGUGUUUAAAGCAGGCUUACGCUUGAAUACAUUAG